CUCGUAGCUUGCUAUGAGAACAAUUGGUGGCAGACGGGUGAGUAAUGCAUAGGAAUCUACCUAGUAGUAUAGGAUAGCCACUAGAAAUGGUGGGUAAUACUGUAUAAUCCCUGCGGGGGAAAGAUUUAUCGCUACAUGAUGAGCCUAUGUUAGAUUAGCUAGUUGGUGGGGUAAUGGCCUACCAAGGCAGUGAUCUAUAGCUGGUCUGAGAGGAUGAUCAGCCACACUGGAACUGAGACACGGUCCAGACUCCUACGGGAGGCAGCAGUGGGGAAUAUUGGACAAUGGGCGCAAGCCUGAUCCAGCUAUGCCGCGUGAGUGAGGAAGGCCUUAGGGUUGUAAAACUCUUUCAGUGGGGAAGGUAAUGACGGUACCCACAGAAGAAGUCCCGGCAAACUCCGUGCCAGCAGCCGCGGUAAUACGGAGGGGGCAAGCGUUGUUCGGAAUUAUUGGGCGUAAAGGGCAUGUAGGUGGUUUGGUUAGUUAAAGGUGAAAUGCCAGGGCUUAACCCUGGAGCUGCUYYUAAUACUGCCAGACUGGAGUCCGGGAGA
rnacentral:rRNA from 1 species